UAGUUAGUGAAAAAUUAUCACCAAUGUACCUGCCUUUGAUGAACGCCUUUGAAUUGUGGCAGCCAAGUGUUCAUAGCGACGUUGCUUUUUGAUCCUUCGAUGUCUGCUCUUCCUAUCAUUGUGAAGAAGAAUUCACCAAGUGUUGGAUUGUUCACCCACCAAUAGGGAACGUGAGUUGGGUUUAGACCGUCGUGAGACAGAUUUGUUUUACCCUACUGAUGAUCGUGUUGCCAUAGUAAUUCAACCUAGUACGAGAGGAACCGUUGAUUCACACAAUUGGUUAUCGCGCUUGGUUGAAAAGCUAAUUAGGGUUAGUUUUACCCUAAUUAGCUUAACAACAGAGAUUAGGACGGCUAAGUCUCAAUAUCAGAGAAUUUGUUUCAUUUGGCUUGAUCGUCGUAUCAGACAUAUGUUGGAAUGUGAAGUUUGAUCACUAACAAGAUGAUUUUGGAAAUAAGUCUGUAAGUUUUCACAAACCGUCCCAAUUUUAUGAUCAAAUAAUUUAAUUGAGUUCAUCGCCAU
rnacentral:ncRNA from 1 species